GCCGGAUGUGGUGGUGCAUGCCUGUAAUCCCAGCUUCUUGGGAGGCUGAGGCAGGAGGAUUGCAAGUUUGAAGGCAGCCUCAGCAAUUUAGCAAGACCCUGUUUCAA
rnacentral:sRNA from 1 species